rnacentral:rRNA from 1 species
UACGAAGGGGGCUAGCGUUGCUCGGAAUUACUGGGCGUAAAGGGCGCGUAGGCGGCCUGCUAAGUCGAACGUGAAAUCCCCGGGCUCAACCCGGGAACUGCGUCCGAUACUGGAAGGCUUGAAUCCGGGAGAGGGAUGCGGAAUUCCAGGUGUAGCGGUGAAAUGCGUAGAUAUCUGGAGGAACACCGGUGGCGAAGGCGGCAUCCUGGACCGGCAUUGACGCUGAGGCGCGAAAGCCAGGGGAGCAAACGGG